rnacentral:rRNA from 1 species
AACGAACGCUGGCGGCAGGCCUAACACAUGCAAGUCGAACGAAGUCUUCGGACUUAGUGGCGCACGGGUGAGUAACACGUGGGAAUAUACCUUACGCUGGGGGAUAACAGCGGGAAACUGAUCCUAAUACCGCAUACGCCCUUAGGGGAAAGGAUCUGUGGGCGAAAGAUUAGCCCUCGUCCGAUUGGCUGGUUGGUGAGGGAAUGGCGAACCAACGCCGCGAUCGUUAGCUGGUCUGUGAGGAAGACACGCCAGACUGGGAAUCAGACACGGCCCAGACUCGUACGGGAGGCAGGAGUGGGGAAUAUUGUAGAAUGGGCGCAAGCCCGACACCGCCAUGCCCCGUGAGUGAUCAAGGCCUUAGGGUUGUAAAGCUCUUUCUCCCACGACGAUGAUGACGGUAGUGGGAGAAGAAGCCCCGGCUAACUUCGUG